AGGAAAUAAAGGCAAAAAAAAAGCUGCUAACUUUUUUAUUUAAUGGUUAAAUUCCAUUUAUAUUUCU
rnacentral:tRNA from 1 species